rnacentral:rRNA from 1 species
UACAGAGGGGGCUAGCGUUGUUCGGAUUUACUGGGCGUAAAGCGCACGUAGGCGGGUUGUUAAGUCAGGGGUGAAAUCCUGGAGCUCAACUCCAGAACUGCCUUUGAUACUGGCAACCUAGAGGCUGGAAGAGGUUAGUGGAAUUCCCAGUGUAGAGGUGAAAUUCGUAGAUAUUGGGAAGAACACCAGUGGCGAAGGCGGCUAACUGGUCCAGAUCUGACGCUGAGGUGCGAAAGCGUGGGGAGCAAACAGG